rnacentral:ncRNA from 1 species
CGACCUGCACGAAUGGCAUAAUGAUGGCCAGGCUGUCUCCACCCGAGACUCAGUGAAAUUGAAAUCGCCGUGAAGAUGCGGUGUACCCGCGGCUAGACGGAAAGACCCCGUGAACCUUUACUAUAGCUUGACACUGAACAUUGAAUUUUGAUGUGUAGGAUAGGUGGGAGACUAUGAAGCAGUCACGCCAGUGAUUGUGGAGUCAUCCUUGAAAUACCACCCUUUAACGUUUGAUGUUCUAACGAAGAUUACGAAACGUGGUCUCGGACAGUGUCUGGUGGGUAGUUUGACUGGGGCGGUCUCCUCCCAAAGAGUAACGGAGGAGCACGAAGGUUUGCUAAUGACGGUCGGACAUCGUCAGGUUAGUGCAAUGGUAUAAGCAAGCUUAACUGCGAGACAGACAAGUCGAGCAGGUACGAAAGUAGGUCAUAGUGAUCCGGUGGUUCUGCAUGGAAGGGCCAUCGCUCAACGGAUAAAAGGUACUCCGGGGAUAACAGGCUGAUACCGCCCAAGAGUUCAUAUCGACGGCGGUGUUUGGCACCUCGAUGUCGGCUCAUCACAUCCUGGGGCUGAAGUAGGUCCCAAGGGUAUGGCUGUUCGCCAUUUAAAGUGGUACGCGAGCUGGGUUUAGAACGUCGUGAGACAGUUCGGUCCCUAUCUGCCGUGGGCGUUGGAGAAUUGAAAGGGGCUGCUCCUAGUACGAGAGGACCGGAGUGGACGCACCACUGGUGUUCCGGUUGUGUCGCCAGACGCAUUGCCGGGUAGCUAAGUGCGGAAGAGAUAAGUGCUGAAAGCAUCUAAGCACGAAACUUGCCUUGAGAUGAGUUCUCCCAGAUUUAAAAUCUGUAAGGGUUGUUUAAGACUAAGACGUAGAUAGGUCUGAUGUGUAAGCGGUGCGAGCCGUUGAGCUAACAGAUACUAAUUGCCCGAGAGGCUUAACUAU